GCAUGAGUUUGGAUUUAUGACAGGCCUGUUCUCCUGGGCCUCUUGUGGUGCCCCCUGACAGAGCAAACCAUGGCCCUGAACCAUGGCCUGGCCUCUGUGCCUGUAGGCCACUGGCACUGAAGUGGGUUGCAUGGUG
rnacentral:snoRNA from 1 species